CAUAUAACUUUAUUCCUUCAUUUUGCAUUAGUGUGUUACUGUUUAGAUUACUCAAUCACUUAGAAUAUUUUCUUAAGUACUAGUUUCUCGUUUGUUGUUGCUACUAUUAAUUAAUAAACAAAAUGUCUUUAAGCGAAGAUAAAGACAGUAAUGCAAAACAAUUGAAGGAACUACUUGCUAAACGUAGCUCGGUCAAAGGACGCUUAACGAAAUUUAAAAGGUAUUUAGAUGUAGUAUGCUCUUUAAAAUUAUCAAAAACUCAAAUUAAAGAAUUAGAAAUUAAUAUUGAUAAAAUCCGAGCUGUGUCUAGCAAAUUCGAUGAACUACAGGCUCAGAUUGAGGUUAUUAAUUGUGAUAAUAUGGACUCUGAGAUCGAUGAACGUGAUGGAAUUGAACAGAUCUUCACUUCACAUUUGGCAAUUGCUGAAGAGCAACUUGACAAGUAUAAGAAUACUUCUCAUUAUUCUGAUUCGCACAAUUCAUCACAAUGUCAUCACGAUCAGUCGACUCAGUGUCAUCAUGUUGAUUUUAAAUUACCACAAAUACAAAUUGCAAAGUUCGAUGGCGCUUAUUUUCGCUGGCUUGAGUUCCGAGACACCUAUUUGUCGCUUAUUCAUAACAAUGAGCGCAUCAACCCUAUUCAUAAGUUCCAUUAUUUGGUAUCGUAUCUCGAGAAUGAAGCCGCGCGAAUUAUCUCUAAUUUAGAGAUUUGCGAAACUAAUUAUGAAACUGCAUGGCAGCUUUUGUGCGAUCGUUACGAUAACAAGCGCCAGCUUAUAAAUCAACACCUUAAUUCAUUGUUAUAUUUUGAAUCGACCCAGCAACAACACAAACGUGAAUCAGACAAAUCACUGAGGUUUCUAGUUGACCACGUAACAAAAAACUUGCGCGCAUUAUCAAGCUUAGCUAAACAAGAUGAGCUGCUUGAUAUGAUAAUUAUUAAAAUUCUUAUACCUAAAUUAGAUAAUCGUACUGCAAUGAAGUGGGAAGAACACCGUAAUAACUUGUCCGAUCUCCCCACUCUAAAGGACUUCAAUAAGUUCCUAACUGAUCGUGCUGAUGUGUUACAAACUAUGUCUCAAAACAAGUUUGACACACCCAAGGCUACACAAUCACGUCAAAAUAAUAACAAUAAUAAUUCUCGUAGCACUAAGUCCUUUUCGUCUACAGUUCAGAAUACCGGCUCCGUCACUAGGCAGUGCGUUGUCUGUAAGGGUAACCACUGGAUUUACGACUGCCCUACAUUCCUAGCGAAGAGUGUUCAAGAACGACGAGACGAAGCACUUAAGUUGCACUUAUGCUCCAAUUGUUUACGAACUGGGCAUCGUGCACAUGAUUGCAAGUUGGGUCCCUGUCGUGAGUGCAAGCGUAGACACAACUCACUCUUGCAUUUACCUAAUUCUAACAAUACUAGCACAAGUAAUGCUAGUACAGUCAACAGCAAUAGCGAUAACACAGAUCGCGGUUCAAGUGAAAUAUCAGUCAAUAAUUCGAUUAGUGAUAAUUUCGUAGAAAAUCAUAUUCUUUUGUCAACAGCCAUGGUAAACGUUAUCAAUCCUCAAACAAACAAACAAUUUAGAGUGCGCGCUUUAUUAGACUGUGGAAGUCAGUCCUCAUUUAUUAGCCAGUCACUCAUGAACAAGCUAUCAUUACAGGUAUGUACUAUAAAUACCAUAAAUGUUAUUGGUAUAGGCAACAACUUAGCAGAACAUGUAAACAAAAGUUGCAUUGCCCGAUUAAAGUCAUUUAGCAAUGACUACAGUGUUGUACAAUCAUUUUAUGUGUUGAACCAAUUAACAGGUUCUAUUCCUAAACAAUCUAUAGAUAUUAGUCAAUUUAACAUCCCACGAGACAUACAGUUAGCUGAUCCUAACUUUAAUCAGCCUUCGGCAAUAGACGUCUUGAUAGGUGCGGACCUAUUUUGGGACCUAUUAGGAUGUGAUCAGCUAACAUUAGGUCAUAACAUGCCCAAGCUACGCAGCUCAAAGCUAGGUUGGUUAGUCGCCGGCCCUAUUUUUCCAAGGUUAAGGAAUCGUUCGUCACCAAGAAAUAUUCCGUGUCAUGUUUCAAUCAGUGACAGUGACGAAUGCAAUAAUUCCGAUAUUAAUUAUCAAUUAACAAAGUUUUGGGAACUGGAGCAAGUUCCAGAUAAGCAAUAUUUUGGUAAAAUUGAGCAGGCUUGCGAAGACCACUUCUAUCGUAAUACUUACCGUUUAGAAUCUGGCAGAUUUUGUGUUAGGCUGCCUCUAAUUGAUAGUCCAGAUUGUUUAGGAGAUUCUUACGCAAUGGCUAAGAAACGACUAUUGUGUUUAGAAAAACGUUUCCGUAAGAAUCCAGAAUUAAAGUUACAAUAUUCAAAUUUCAUUCAAGAAUAUUUAGAGCUAGGCCAUUUAGAGGAAUGUCCGAUUGUAAAUCCCGUUCCAUCCUAUUAUCUUUGCCAUCAUGCAGUUUUCAAACAAAAUAGUGAAACGACAAAGACACGUGUUGUCUUUGAUGGAUCGGCACGAACUUCCUCAGGUUUCUCUCUAAACGACCUACAGAUGGUCGGUCCCAAUGUUCAAGACUCGAUCUUUUCUAUUUUGAUACGAGCUCGUCAGUACAAAUACAUUUUGACAGCCGAUAUUGAAAAGUUCUUUAGGAUGGUUGAACUAGAUGAAAGGGAUCGUAAUUUACAAUUAAUACUUUGGAGAAGUGAUGAGUCAAAUCCUAUCAAAACUUUACGUCUAAAAACCGUCACUUAUGGUCUCGCAAGUGCUACAUAUUUAAGCACCAAGUGUUUGUCGGUAUUGGCAGAGGAUUGCGAUGAUCAAUUUAUAGGUAAUAUUAUUAAACGCGACCACUAUGUCGAUGAUUUGGUCACUGGAUCCAACAAUGAGUCCGAGUUGUUAUACAUUCAGCGCAAGGUGUCGGACACUCUAAAGUCUGCAGGGUUUAAACUACGUAAAUUCAGGUCGAAUUCACCAAGUAUUUUGUCAUCAUCGGUCAUUGAUCAAAAUGUCAAGGUCAGUUUAAGUGAAUCCACUAAUACCUUAGGAUUAAAUUGGAAUCCUAAAACCGAUACUCUUCAAAUAUCAAUUGUAAUUCCCAACAAAAGUGAUGUAGUUACCAAGCGUUCUAUACUGUCUACAUCUUUCAAGAUUUUUGAUCCCCUUGGUAUUCUCAGUCCAUGCGUGAUUAUACCUAAAAUGUUGCUUCAGUCCUUAUGGCUCAAUAAAAAUGGCUGGGAUGAACCGGUUAGCUCCGAUAUUUUGAAAUCUUGGAACAAGUUUAUUAACAAUCUAAAUGUUUUAUCAGAUCUACAGAUCCCGCGAUCAACUCUAUGCGAAGCUCCUAGUUAUAUAGAAAUACAUACCUUUAGUGAUGCUUCUCAAGUCGCUUACGGUGCAUGUGUGUACCUGCGGUCACACAACUUAGCUGGUGAUGUAAAGGUUAACUUACUGUGUGCUAAGUCUAAGGUGGCGCCGUUGAAGCCGACGACAAUACCGCGUCUGGAGCUUUGUGCUGCUCUGUUAGCUGCAAAAUUGUGCAAGACAGUUACCAGUUCUCUGCGAUGUGAGGUCAAUCGUAUCAUUUAUUGGUGCGAUUCUAGCGUUGUCCUCAGCUGGUUGAAUGGUAAUUCUGCAAAGUUAAAAACAUUUGUAGCGAAUAGGGUUGCCGAGAUCAAUGAACUUACCGAUAGUUCGUCGUGGCGCUAUGUGCCGACUGAUCAGAAUCCGGCUGACCUGAUCUCAAGAGGCGUAAGUCCAGAUCAAAUUACCAACCUUAAUUUAUGGUGGUCAGGUCCAAAUUUUCUAAUACAGCCUGAAUGUGAUUGGCCCUAUUUAAAUAAAUUAAUGAAUGAAACAGACUUACCUGAGAUGAAAUCCACUUCCGCUGUGGUCCAGGAACCUGUAACAGAAAUUCUAAAAAUAGAUAAAUUUUCAUCGUUUUUAAAAUUAAGACGCAUGUUUGCGUAUGUAAACAGAUAUAUACAUAAUAUUAGACACAAAAAUCCUAAAGAUAAAUUAUUUGGUAAAUUUAGUGUUACCGAAUUAGAAUCAUCCUUUAUUAGCCUAUGUAAAAUUGCUCAGAAAACUUCAUUUGCUCUAGAAUACAAUAUUUUAUUAAAAAAUAAAGGUUUAAGUAGCAAAUCGCCUCUCUUGUCACUUUCACCCUUUUUGGAUGAUGACAAGGUGAUGAGAGUCGGUGGUAGAAUAGAAUUAUCAAAUUAUAAUUAUACUAAAAAACAUCCUAUACUUCUACACGCCUCUCAUCCACUCACCAAACUAUAUUUCAAACAUGAACACUUACGGAAUAUGCAUGCCGGGCCUCAACUAUUGCUGGCCUGUGUAAGAGAAACUGUGUGGCCUAUAAACGGUAGGCACUUGGCCCGCCGCACAGUUCAUGCCUGUGUCAGAUGUAGACGUAUUCAAGGUAAAACAUUAACUCCCAUGAUGGGAAACUUACCUGCACAGCGCAUCACACCUGAUUUUCCAUUUCGUACUGUUGGUGUUGACUUCGCUGGUCCAUUCCUCACACUAAACAGAAAAGGUCGAGGUGCACGAUUAACUAAAACCUACUUAUGUUUGUUUGUAUGUUUUCGCUAUAAAUGUGUGCACUUGGAAGCCGUCAGUGAUUUGUCUAAAGACGCUUUUAUUAUGACAUUACGCAGAUUCAUAUCGCGACGGGGCAAGCCAGCGGAGAUAUUUUGCGAUAACGGCCGCAACUUUGUUGCAGCCGCUAAGGAAAUAGGCAAUUUUCUUAAAACCAAUCAUGGACCUGUAGUUGAUUUUGUUACCAAUGAAGGUGUGAGGUUUGUGUUCUCUCCCACAUAUGCUCCACAUUUCGGCGGCAUCUGGGAGGCAGGCGUUAAAUCCGCGAAAUACCAUUUAAAACGCGUUAUGGGAAACAAUCAUUUAACGUUCGAGGAGAUAUGUACUCUUUUCACACAAGUGGAAGCUGUGCUUAAUAGUAGACCUUUAUGCCCACUCUCUCCUUCCCCUAACGAUUACCACUUCCUAACUCCUGGUCACUUUCUGAUAGGGCGUGCCUUAAAUGCAUUGCCUGGUCCAUCGCUCGAGCACGAGAACCAGAACAAUCUUCAACGCUACAUGAAGCUUGAACAAAUACAUCAACAUUUUUGGCAGCGCUGGCAAAAGGAAUAUGUAGCAGAGCUACAGCAGCGCUCAAAAUGGCGUACGAAAUCAGCAUCACUAAAAGUCGGCGACUUAGUUCUUCUCCAUGAGGAUAAUGUCCCACCACUCAGUUGGCGAAUGGGACGAGUCAGCAGGCUGUUCCCGGGGACCGACGGAGUCACGCGAGUCGCAGACGUGCAAACUACCAGAGGUUGCUUCAGGAGACCUCUCACUCGGAUCUGUCCCUUGCCUACAUCGCCACCGGAGGAAGACUGAAGUGGUUGAAAGGAGUCUUUCAACGGGGGGGAAGAUGUCUGCGCCGUACCUACGCCUAAUGGGUUCUAAUAGCAACAAGUUGCACGUUCAAAUAGUCUUCUUCGUAGGAGGAUGGAUAUUCUUCGUGAAGCAAUUAUUCAGAGACUAUGAAGUGCAUCACCUGCUGGUGCAGCUUAUAUUCUCUGUCACCUUCGCACUAAGUUGUACCAUGUUCGAGCUAAUCAUAUUUGAA